GCGUGCCUACACAUGCAGUCGAACGCGAAAGAUGACUUCGGUUAUCGAGUAGAGUGGCGAACGGGUGAGUAACGCGUGGGUUACCUGCCUUGCAGCGGGGGAUAACUCGGGGAAACCCGGGCUAAUACCGCAUAAGCCUUACGAGGGAAAGCCUUCGGGUGCUGCAAGAGGGGCCCGCGUCCGAUUAGCUAGUUGGUGAGGUAAAGGCUCACCAAGGCGUCGAUCGGUAGCCGGUCUGAGAGGACGGACGGCCACACUGGGACUGAGACACGGUCCAGACUNAUACGGGAGGCAGCAGUGGGGAAUUUUGCGCAAUGGGGGAAACCCUGACGCAGCAACGCCGCGUGGAGGAAGAAGGCUUUCGAGUCGUAAACUCCUGUUUACAGGGACGAAAAAAAUGACGGUACCUGUGGAGGAAGCCCCGGCUAACUCCGUGCCAGCAGCCGCGGUAAUACG
rnacentral:rRNA from 1 species